CCUACGGGUGGCUGCAGUGGGGAAUAUUGGACAAUGGGCGAAAGCCUGAUCCAGCCAUGCCGCGUGUGUGAAGAAGGCCUUCGGGUUGUAAAGCACUUUCAGUGGGGAAGAAAGCCUUGGGGCUAAUACCCUCGAGGAAGGACAUCACCCACAGAAGAAGCACCGGCUAACUCCGUGCCAGCAGCCGCGGUAAUACGGAGGGUGCGAGCGUUAAUCGGAAUUACUGGGCGUAAAGCGCGCGUAGGCGGUCUGAUAAGCCGGUUGUGAAAGCCCCGGGCUCAACCUGGGAACGGCAUCCGGAACUGUCAGGCUAGAGUGCAGGAGAGGAAGGUAGAAUUCCCGGUGUAGCGGUGAAAUGCGUAGAGAUCGGGAGGAAUACCAGUGGCGAAGGCGGCCUUCUGGACUGACACUGACGCUGAGGUGCGAAAGCGUGGGUAGCAAACAGGAUUAGAUACCCGUGUACUC
rnacentral:rRNA from 1 species